UGACUGGAGGGGGAGCCACAGUUGAUGC
rnacentral:sRNA from 1 species